rnacentral:lncRNA from 1 species
AUAAAAAUGGCGACCACCUGACCAACCUCCACAGGCUGGCUGGUCCCCAGGCCCGACUGGAACAGAAGGGAACUAGUAAGAGAAUGGCCAAAGGGCAAAUAAUCACUGCCUGAUUGGAGGCUGGCUGACUGUUGACCAAGCAAGUGCGGGAUCAUCUCUAACUGGACUCACCAGUUACUGUGGGCAAUAGUGGUGCUUCUCUUGGAAUCUUCUAAUGGAGCAAGUUCCUCUAUCUUUGCUUCACUGUCAAUUCAAAAAUUUGGG